GGAGGGUAACCGAAUGGUGAGGAGGCUGACUCGAAAUCAGUUACCCCGCAAGGGGCUGUGGGUUCGAAUCCCAUGCCCUCCGC
rnacentral:tRNA from 1 species